rnacentral:rRNA from 1 species
GAACGAACGCUGGCGGCAUGCCUACCACAUGCAAGUCGAACGAGACCUUCGGGUCUCGUGGCGCACGGGCGCGUAACGCGUGGGAACCUGCCCUUAGGUUCGGAAUAACUCCCCGAAAGGGGUGCUAAUACCGGAUAAUGUCUUCGGACCAAAGAUUUAUCGCCUUUGGAUGGGCCCGCGUUGGAUUAGCUAGUUGGUAGGGUAAAAGCCUACCAAGGCGACGAUCCAUAGCUGGUCUGAGAGGAUGAUCAGCCACACUGGGACUGAGACACGGCCCAGACUCCUACGGGAGGCAGCAGUGGGGAAUAUUGGACAAUGGGCGAAAGCCUGAUCCAGCAAUGCCGCGUGAGUGAUGAAGGCCUUAGGGUUGUAAAGCUCUUUUACCCGGGAUGAUAAUGACAGUACCGGGAGAAUAAGCUCCGGCUAACUCCGUG